rnacentral:rRNA from 1 species
CCUACGGGUGGCAGCAGUCGAGAAUUAUUCACAAUGGGGGAAACCCUGAUGGUGCGACGCCGCGUGGGGGAAUGAAGGUCUUCGGAUUGUAAACCCCUGUCAUGUGGGAGCAAAUUAAAAAGAUAGUACCACAAGAGGAAGAGACGGCUAACUCUGUGCCAGCAGCCGCGGUAAUACAGAGGUCGCAAGCGUUGUUCGGAAUCACGGGGCGUAAGGCGUGCGUAGGCUGUUUCGUAAGUCGUGUGUGAAAGGCGCGGGCUCAACCCGCGGACGGCACAUGAUACUGCGAGACUCGAGUAAUGGAGGGGGAACCGGAAUUCUCGGUGUAGCAGUGAAAUGCGUAGAUAUCUGGAGGAACACUCGUGGCGAAGGCGGGUUCCUGGACAUUAACUGACGCUGAGGCACGAAGGCCAGGGGAGCGAAAGGGAUUAGAUACCCUAGUAGUC